CCGCGGUAAAACGUAGGGUGCAAGCGUUAUCCGGAUUCACUGGGUUUAAAGGGUGUGUAGGCGGGCUAUUAAGUCAGUGGUGAAAUCCCCGAGCUUAACUUGGGAACUGCCGUUGAUACUAUGUGUCUUGAAUAUCGUGGAGGUAAGCGGAAUAUGUCAUGUAGCGGUGAAAUGCUUAGAUAUGACAUAGAACACCGAUUGCGAAGGCAGCUUACUACACGAUCAUUGACGCUGAGGCACGAAAGCGUGGGGAGCAAACAGG
rnacentral:rRNA from 1 species